UGGGGAAUAUUGGACAAUGGGCGCAAGCCUGAUCCAGCCAUGCCGCGUGAGUGACGAAGGCCUUAGGGUUGUAAAGCUCUUUUUGGCGGGGAAGAUAAUGACGGUACCCGCAGAAUAAGCUCCGGCUAACUUCGUGCCAGCAGCCGCGGUAAUACGAAGGGAGCUAGCGUUGUUCGGAAUCACUGGGCGUAAAGCGCACGUAGGCGGAUGUGUCAGUCAGGGGUAAAAUCCCGGAGCUCAACUUCGGAACUGCCCUUGAUACAGCACGUCUUGAGUCCGAUAGAGGUGGGUGGAAUUCCUAGUGUAGAGGUGAAAUUCGUAGAUAUUAGGAAGAACACCGGUGGCGAAGGCGGCCCACUGGAUCGGUACUGACGCUGAGGUGCGAAAGCGUGGGGAGCAAACAGGAUUAGAUACCCCCGUAGUCCCUGAGCGGGCUGGCAAGGCGCAU
rnacentral:rRNA from 1 species